ensembl:miRNA bta-mir-2284g bta-mir-2284g
UGGAUUGGUCCAAAAGUUCGUUCGGCUUUUUCUGUAACAUGGAAAAAAAUCCGCACUUUUAGGCCAACCCA